UACGAAGGGAGCUAGCGUUGUUCGGAAUCACUGGGCGUAAAGCGCACGUAGGCGGAUGUGUCAGUCAGGGGUGAAAUCCCGGAGCUCAACUUCGGAACUGCCUUUGAUACAGCACGUCUUGAGUCCGAUAGAGGUGGGUGGAAUUCCUAGUGUAGAGGUGAAAUUCGUAGAUAUUAGGAAGAACACCGGUGGCGAAGGCGGCCCACUGGAGCGGUACUGACGCUGAGGUGCGAAAGCGUGGGGAGCAAACAGG
rnacentral:rRNA from 1 species